AUGGUACAAACUAUAUUCUGUGUUUUUCCCCUUGCAGGUGUCCAGUCCCAGAUCCAGUUUGUCCAGUCUGGUCCUGAAGUUAAAAGGCCUGGAGAGUCAGUGAAACUGACCUGUAGGGCAUCUGGAUACACAUUUACCAGCUAUUCUAUGCACUGGAUCAGACAGGCACCAGGCAAAGGACUGGAGUGGGUUGGACGUAUUUUUACAAGUAACUUUGAAACACUCUAUCUUAAGGCUCUUGAAGGUCGAGUCACUAUCACCGUGGACACCUCCAUUAGCACCACAUAUCUGCAGCUGACGGGCUUAAAAGCUGAAGACACUGCUGUCUAUUACUGUGCAAGACUCACAGUGGUGAAAAAACAAAGUGAUGGUGCAAGCCCCACUGGGGAGCUGUUUGGCCGGGGGACAACCUGUGUCAUGCACUGCUAUAACAUGUACUGGAUUCGACAGGCUCCAGGAAAAGGGCUGGAAUGGAUCAUUUAUUACUAUUCACCCACUGACAACAGCUACUCCCCAACCAUCCAGGGCCGAUUCUCUGCCUCCAAGGACUCUUCCAACUUCUACCUGCAAAUGAACAGCCUGAAGCAAGAAGACACAGCCAUGUAUUACUGUGCCAGAGAUGCACAGUGGUGGAAAUAG